rfam:Triticum urartu cultivar G1812 contig230954, whole genome shotgun sequence.
GUAGUACUCUCUUCGUCUAAAAAUACUUGUCAUCAAAAUGGACAAAAAGGAAUAUAUCCAGAACUAAAAUACAUCUAGAUACAUCUUCUUUUAUUCAUUUUGAUGACAAGUAUUUCCGGGCGGAAGGAGUAGUUU